rnacentral:rRNA from 1 species
ACGCACGCUGGCGGCGUGCCUAAUACAUGCAAGUAGAACGCUGAAGAGAGGAGCUUGCUCUUCUUGGAUGAGUUGCGAACGGGUGAGUAACGCGUAGGUAACCUGCCUUGUAGCGGGGGACAACUAUUGGAAACGAUAGCUAAUACCGCAUAACAAUGGAUGACACAUGUCAUUUAUUUGAAAGGGGCAAUUGCUCCACUACAAGAUGGACCUGCGUUGUAUUAGCUAGUAGGUGAGGUAAUGGCUCACCUAGGCGACGAUACAUAGCCGACCUGAGAGGGUGAUCGGCCACACUGGGACUGAGACACGGCCCAGACUCCUACGGGAGGCAGCAGUAGGGAAUCUUCGGCAAUGGGGGCAACCCUGACCGAGCAACGCCGCGUGAGUGAAGAAGGUUUUCGGAUCGUAAAGCUCUGUUGUAAGUCAAGAACGGGUGUGAGAGUGGAAAGUUCACACUGUGACGGUAGCUUACCAGAAAGAGACGGCUAACUACGUG